rnacentral:rRNA from 1 species
AUGAACGCUAGCUACAGGCUUAACACAUGCAAGUCGAGGGGCAGCAUGGUCUUAGCUUGCUAAGGCCGAUGGCGACCGGCGCACGGGUGAGUAACACGUAUCCAACCUGCCGUCUACUCUUGGACAGCCUUCUGAAAGGAAGAUUAAUACAAGAUGGCAUCAUGAGUCCACAUGUUCACAUGAUUAAAGGUAUUCCGGUAGACGAUGGGGAUGCGUUCCAUUAGAUAGUAGGCGGGGUAACGGCCCACCUAGUCUUCGAUGGAUAGGGGUUCUGAGAGGAAGGUCCCCCACAUUGGAACUGAGACACGGUCCAAACUCCUACGGGAGGCAGCAGUGAGGAAUAUUGGUCAAUGGGCGAGAGCCUGAACCAGCCAAGUAGCGUGAAGGAUGACUGCCCUAUGGGUUGUAAACUUCUUUUAUAAAGGAAUAAAGUCGGGUAUGGAUACCCGUUUGCAUGUACUUUAUGAAUAAGGAUCGGCUAACUCCGUGCCAGCAGCCGCGGUAAUACGGAGGAUCCGAGCGUUAUCCGGAUUUAUUGGGUUUAAAGGGAGCGUAGAUGGAUGUUUAAGUCAGUUGUGAAAGUUUGCGGCUCAACCGUAAAAUUGCAGUUGAUACUGGAUAUCUUGAGUGCAGUUGAGGCAGGCGGAAUUCGUGGUGUAGCGGUGAAAUGCUUAGAUAUCACGAAGAACUCCGAUUGCGAAGGCAGCCUGCUAAGCUGCAACUGACAUUGAGGCUCGAAAGUGUGGGUAUCAAACAGGAUUAGAUACCCUGGUAGUCCACACGGUAAACGAUGAAUACUCGCUGUUUGCGAUAUACAGCAAGCGGCCAAGCGAAAGCGUUAAGUAUUCCACCUGGGGAGUACGCCGGCAACGGUGAAACUCAAAGGAAUUGACGGGGGCCCGCACAAGCGGAGGAACAUGUGGUUUAAUUCGAUGAUACGCGAGGAACCUUACCCGGGCUUAAAUUGCAGAUGAAUUACGGUGAAAGCCGUAAGCCGCAAGGCAUCUGUGAAGGUGCUGCAUGGUUGUCGUCAGCUCGUGUCGUGAGAUGUUGGGUUAAGUCCCGCAACGAGCGCAACCCUUGUUGUCAGUUACUAACAGGUUCCGCUGAGGACUCUGACAAGACUGCCAUCGUAAGAUGUGAGGAAGGUGGGGAUGACGUCAAAUCAGCACGGCCCUUACGUCCGGGGCUACACACGUGUUACAAUGGGGGGUACAGAGGGCCGCUACCACGCGAGUGGAUGCCAAUCCCAAAAACCUCUCUCAGUUCGGACUGGAGUCUGCAACCCGACUCCACGAAGCUGGAUUCGCUAGUAAUCGCGCAUCAGCCACGGCGCGGUGAAUACGUUCCCGGGCCUUGUACACACCGCCCGUCAAGCCAUGGGAGCCGGGGGUACCUGAAGUGCGUAACCGCGAGGAGCGCCCUAGGGUAAAACUGGUGACUGGGGCU